rnacentral:rRNA from 1 species
UACGUAGGGAGCAAGCGUUGUCCGGAAUCAUUGGGCGUAAAGGGCGCGUAGGCGGCCUUCUAAGUCGAACGUGAAAUCCCCGGGCUCAACCCGGGAACUGCGUCCGAUACUGGAAGGCUUGAAUCCGGGAGAGGGAUGUGGAAUUCCAGGUGUAGCGGUGAAAUGCGUAGAUAUCUGGAGGAACACCGGUGGCGAAGGCGACAUCCUGGGCCGAUACUGACGCUGAGGAGCGAAAGCGUGGGGAGCGAACAGG